GAGGGCGUAGCUCAGUGGUAGAGCACAUGCCUAGCAUGCAUGAGGUCAUGGGUUCAAUUUCCAGUACCUCCA
rnacentral:tRNA from 1 species